AGUGAACGCUGGCGGUAGGCCUAACACAUGCAAGUCGAACGGCAGCACAGUAAGAGCUUGCUCUUACGGGUGGCGAGUGGCGGACGGGUGAGGAAUACAUCGGAAUCUACUUUUUCGUGGGGGAUAACGUAGGGAAACUUACGCUAAUACCGCAUACGACCUACGGGUGAAAGCAGGGGAUCUUCGGACCUUGCGCGAUUGAAUGAGCCGAUGUCGGAUUAGCUAGUUGGCGGGGUAAAGGCCCACCAAGGCGACGAUCCGUAGCUGGUCUGAGAGGAUGAUCAGCCACACUGGAACUGAGACACGGUCCAGACUCCUACGGGAGGCAGCAGUGGGGAAUAUUGGACAAUAGGCGCAAGCCUGAUCCAGCCAUACCGCGUGGGUGAAGAAGGCCUUCGGGUUGUAAAGCCCUUUUGUUGGGAAAGAAAAGCAGCAGGUUAAUACCCCGCUGCUCUGACGGUACCCAAAGAAUAAGCACCGGCUAACUUCGUG
rnacentral:rRNA from 1 species